UACGUAGGGGGGCUAGCGUUGUCCGGAAUCAUUGGGCGUAAAGCGCGUGUAGGCGGCCCGAUAAGUCCGCUGUGAAAGUCCAGGGCUCAACCCUGGAAUGCCGGUGGAAACUGUCGGGCUAGAGUUCGGAAGAGGUGAGUGGAAUUCCUGGUGUAGCGGUGAAAUGCGCAGAUAUCAGGAGGAACACCCGUGGCUAAGGCGGUUCUCUAGUACGGUACUGACGCUGAGACGCGAAAGCGUGGGGAGCGAACAGG
rnacentral:rRNA from 1 species